UACGUAGGGUGCGAGCGUUGUCCGGAAUUAUUGGGCGUAAAGAGCUUAUAGGCGGUUUGUCGCGUCUGCCGUGAAAUUUCGAGGCUCAACCUCGAACUUGCGGUGGGUACGGGCAGACUAGAGUGUGGUAGGGGAGACUGGAAUUCCUGGUGUAGCGGUGAAAUGCGCAGAUAUCAGGAGGAACACCGAUGGCGAAGGCAGGUCUCUGGGCCACUACUGACGCUGAGAAGCGAAAGCAUGGGGAGCGAACAGG
rnacentral:rRNA from 1 species